GCUUCGUUGCGAAGAACCUUCGCCUUUCGCUUCUUCAGUGCUUCCGAAGACAUUUUUAAGAUGGAAAGCGCCGGCUAAUUUACGAUUGGAGAGGAAGCAAACGGUGCUGUCGUGGAGGAACAGGUUUCAGCUCAGUGGAAGGCAGGGAUCCACUCAGCAGGAGGUCACAUCACAAAGUUACGUCAGCCGAGGUAAAACAAGCUGCUCGAGCAGGUAAUCUGAGAUCCAAAGUGGAAGAAGAGGAGACCACAGAUCAACACAGUCC